rnacentral:rRNA from 1 species
GGCUCAGGACGAACGCUGGCGGCGUGCCUAAUACAUGCAAGUCGAACGAACUCUGGUAUUGAUUGGUGCUUGCAUCAUGAUUUACAUUUGAGUGAGUGGCGAACUGGUGAGUAACACGUGGGAAACCCGCCCAGAAGCGGGGGAUAACACCUGGAAACAGAUGCUAAUACCGCAUAACAACUUGGACCGCAUGGUCCGAGCUUGAAAGAUGGCUUCGGCUAUCACUUUUGGAUGGUCCCGCGGCGUAUUAGCUAGAUGGUGGGGUAACGGCUCACCAUGGCAAUGAUACGUAGCCGACCUGAGAGGGUAAUCGGCCACAUUGGGACUGAGACACGGCCCAAACUCCUACGGGAGGCAGCAGUAGGGAAUCUUCCACAAUGGACGAAAGUCUGAUGGAGCAACGCCGCGUGAGUGAAGAAGGGUUUCGGCUCGUAAAACUCUGUUGUUAAAGAAGAACAUAUCUGAGAGUAACUGUUCAGGUAUUGACGGUAUUUAACCAGAAAGCCACGGCUAACUACGUGCCAGCAGCCGCGGUAAUACGUAGGUGGCAAGCGUUGUCCGGAUUUAUUGGGCGUAAAGCGAGCGCAGGCGGUUUUUUAAGUCUGAUGUGAAAGCCUUCGGCUCAACCGAAGAAGUGCAUCGGAAACUGGGAAACUUGAGUGCAGAAGAGGACAGUGGAACUCCAUGUGUAGCGGUGAAAUGCGUACAUAUAUGGAAGAACACCAGUGGCGAAGGCGGCUGUCUGGUCUGUAACUGACGCUGGAGGCUCGAAAGUAUGGGUAGCAAACAGGAUUAGAUACCCUGGUAGUCCAUACCGUAAACGAUGAAUGCUAAGUGUUGGAGGGUUUCCGCCCUUCAGUGCUGCAGCUAACGCAUUAAGCAUUCCGCCUGGGGAGUACGGCCGCAAGGCUGAAACUCAAAGGAAUUGACGGGGGCCCGCACAAGCGGUGGAGCAUGUGGUUUAAUUCGAAGCUACGCGAAGAACCUUACCAGGUCUUGACAUACUAUGCAAAUCUAAGAGAUUAGACGUUCCCUUCGGGGACAUGGAUACAGGUGGUGCAUGGUUGUCGUCAGCUCGUGUCGUGAGAUGUUGGGUUAAGUCCCGCAACGAGCGCAACCCUUAUUAUCAGUUGCCAGCAUUAAGUUGGGCACUCUGGUGAGACUGCCGGUGACAAACCGGAGGAAGGUGGGGAUGACGUCAAAUCAUCAUGCCCCUUAUGACCUGGGCUACACACGUGCUACAAUGGAUGGUACAACGAGUUGCGAACUCGCGAGAGUAAGCUAAUCUCUUAAAGCCAUUCUCAGUUCGGAUUGUAGGCUGCAACUCGCCUACAUGAAGUCGGAAUCGCUAGUAAUCGCGGAUCAGCAUGCCGCGGUGAAUACGUUCCCGGGCCUUGUACACACCGCCCGUCACACCAUGAGAGUUUGUAACACCCAAAGUCGGUGGGGUAACCUUUUAGGAACCAGCCGCCUAAGGUGGGACAGAUGAUUAGGGUG